ACUGCAAAACUGGCUUAGUCAGGUAGCUGCUGUAUCUGCUGCUUCCACUGUGAACUCAAAAACCACAUUGCCUGUGCUGCAGGCCGGAAAGCUGCUGAACCAGGAAGCUGUGCUGAUGCUGCUGACUGCCCCUGAGGUUAGAGAUUGACUAGACAUAGUGCCACUGUCAUCCCUGCUGGAGAAGGUCCGAAGCACCUCCACCUCUGUGCUUCCAGAGGGGCACUGUGGUGGCCACUUAAAAUGCUCAGGCUAUACCAUGCACUAGAGCAUCUACCUGGGCAAGGGAUAUGCUGUAUGACACUCUCCUGAUGCUGGGCAUGGCUGUGAGCCAAAGCACCCAGGCAGCCCUGCCAUCAGAAGGGUAAACCACGGACACCUGAUGCCUUCCUGAAGGAAGAGCACUACGCCUGCCAAACCAUCAAGCGUUGAUGCUCCAGCGCCUUCUACCCGUGGUUCUCCAGCCUCAGCAGAAGAGAGAGAAAUUGAUGACCCUGUCGUUGUAGCAUCCCCAUCACCCAGCAAUUAAUUUUAGUUCAAUGCUUCAAACGCUCUUCAGGCGCAGUGUGCGUUCAGCUGUGUCAGCUAAUGCAAAUGGGGGAUCUCAGAAGUCUUAAUGAAGUAACUAUCCCUGAACACUGGGAUCAAUACUCAGCAUCCAGCUGUCAAAUCAACACCAAGCGUUUCACUCGUCGCCCAGCCUAGAGUGCAAUGGCGCUAUUUCGGCUCAUUAUAACCUCCGCCUCCCGGGUUCAAGCAAUUCUUCUGCUUCAGCGUCCCAAGUAGCUGGGAUUACAGGCCUUCAGUUGCAAAGUUCUCCAUUGUCAGAUUACGCUGCCUGAUGGGCAUGAAAAGUCCACAAAAGAGAAUUUUCUGAUGUGAGAAUGGAGGGUGUUGCCUGCAACUACCCCAGAUCCCUGCGGUGGCAGUUUAAGCCGCCUCCUGGAGCAGAUUGUUAAGCUGAUGCGAGUCUGGGCUCUGCCUCACCACUUGUCUCAGAGACAGAGUCUUGCUCUGUCACCUAGGCUGGAGUGCAGUGGUGCCAUCACAGCUCACUGCAGCCUCGACCUCCCCGUGCUCAAGUGAUCCUCACACCUCAGCCUCCCGAGUAGCCGCGAUCACAAGUUAAACAAACACAGUUCUUUACAUCAAUGCUUCCGUCCCUGGCCAUCUGGUCUCCUGUCCCCUCCAGACCCAAAACCAUGGGCUGGGCUGCAGCAAAAUGAGGGUGUACUCAGUGCACUGAGGCCCAUGUACCAUGAGAGAUGGUGAGAGAAAGCCUUGGCCGGAGUUUAAGGAUUUGGGGCUGGGCACAGUGGCUCGUGCCUGUAAUCCUAGCACUUUGGGAGGCCAAGGCAGGAGGAUCACUUGAGGCCAAGAGUUUGAGACCAGCCUGAGCAACAUAGUGAGACUCUCAUUUCUAAAAAUAAAAAAGUUAGGCCUGGCACAGUGGCUCAUGCCUAUAAUCCCAGCAGUUUGGGAAGCUGAAUCAAGAGGAUCACUUGAGGCCAGGAGUUUGAGCCCAGCCUGGUCAACAUAGUGAGACUUUAUCACUACAAAAAGUUUUUAUUUAUUUAUUUUUUUUGAGACAGGGUCUCGAUUCAUCACUUAGGCUGGAGUGGAGUGUGCAAUCACAGCUCACAGCUCACAGCAGCCUCGACCUCCUGGGUUCAAGCCAUCCUCCCACCUCAGCCUCCUGAGUAGCUGGGACUACAGGCAUACACCACCAUGUCUGGCUAAAUUUUUGUACUUUUUGUAGAGACAGGGUUUCGCCAUGUUGCCCAGGCUGGUCUCUAGCUCCUGGGCUCAAGCAAUCUGCCUGCCUCAGCCUCCCAGAGGCCUGGAACUACAGGCGUGAGCCGCUGCUCUUGGCCAUUUUUAAUUUAAGAGACAGAGUCUCGCUUUGUUACCCAGGCUGGAGUGCAGUACCCUUACUGCAGCCUUGAACUACUGGGCUCAAGCCAUCCUCCCACCUCAGCCUCUCAAGUAGCUGGGACUACAGGUGUGUGUCCCCAUGCCCAGCUGACUGAGCUACCACCAUGCCACUGCAUGCCAGUUGUGACAAAGUGAGACCCUGUCUCUAAAAAAUAAUUAAAUAAAAUGUUUAAUGGUGUUCUGGGUCCUUACUUCAUGGACACUUUCCACUAUGCAGCCUGCCACUGAUUUCAUGUAAAGGCAAAACCAAAAGAGAUCCUUUGCUAAAUUA
rnacentral:lncRNA from 1 species